GACCGAUAGCUGCUUCGGGAUUGGCGUCCGGGCGGCUAUCUAGGGGCUGCUGGGAAGAUGGCGGACUCGGUGGCUAGCCGAUGAGGAGGCCGCGGGGGGAACCCGGCCCCCGGGCCCCGAGACCGACUGAGGGAGCGACCUGCGCAGGGCCCGGGGAGUCAUGCUUUCCAUCUGAUGGUCCCCUGGUGUGUGCCCUGGAACAGGAGCGAAGGCUCCGCCUCCCUCCGAAGCCACCUCCCCCUUUACAGCCCCUUCUCCGAGGCAAGGCCAGAGGAACUGACUCCCCACGUGAUGGUGCUCCUGGCCCAGCACCUGGCCCGGCACCGGUUGCGGGAGCCCCAGCUUCUGGAAGCCAUUGCCCACUUCCUGGUGGUUCAGGAAACGCAACUCAGCAGCAAGGUGGUACAGAAGUUGGUCCUGCCCUUUGGGCGACUGAACUACCUGCCCCUGGAACAGCAGUUUAUGCCCUGCCUUGAGAGGAUCCUGGCUCGGGAAGCAGGGGUGGCACCCCUGGCUACAGUCAACAUCUUGAUGUCACUGUGCCAACUGCGGUGCCUGCCCUUCAGAGCCCUGCACUUUGUUUUUUCCCCUGGCUUCAUCAACUACAUCAGUGGUACGCAGCCAGGAUGGCUGGCUGGGCCCGAGGGCUGGAGAGGCAGGGGAGCAGGGUGGCCUGCAGCCCAGAGCCCCAGUCCCCGCCUCCCCACAGGCACCCCUC
rnacentral:sRNA from 1 species